UACGUAGGGGGCGAGCGUUAUCCGGAUUUACUGGGCGUAAAGCGCGUUAAGGCGGUUGGCAAAGUUGGUGGUGAAAUCCCAGGGCUCAACCCUGGAACUGCCUCCAAUACUGGUCGACUAGAGUGUGAGAGAGGAAGGUGGAAUUCCCGGUGUAGUAGUGAAAUGCGUAGAUAUCAGGAGGAACACCGGUGGCGAAGGCGGGUCUCUGGGCCGAUACUGACGCUGAGGAGCGAAAGCGUGGGGAGCGAACAGG
rnacentral:rRNA from 1 species